rnacentral:lncRNA from 1 species
GAAGAAAGCCUUAGGGUAGUAAAGUCAGAAGACCAAAUAAAGCCUCCCGCCAAAAUGAAAAAGCCUUAGGGCAAAAGUAACAGAUAAUGGAACGCAGUUCACAGGGAAAAAAGUAAGGAAAUUCUGUAAGGAAAAAAGCCUUAGGGCAGUAAGGUCAGUAGACCAAAUAAGGCCUCCCGCCAAAACAAAAAAGCCUAAGGGCAUCAAGGUCGAAGGACCAAAUAAGGUCUCCCGCCAAAAUAAAAACCUAAGGGCAUCAAGGCCAAAAGACCAAAUAAGGCUACCCGCCAAAAUAAAGAAAUCCUGAAGCGACAGACUACCACCAAAAGGCCGCAAGGAAACGUCAACGAAGAAUCAAAGAAACAUGUCAAAAAGCACGUGUGAGCCGAGGGGCAAGAAAAACAAGGAAGGAUGAAAGAAAAAACAAGGGAUAAAAAUAAAAGUGCGCGAUAAAAGUACAGAAUCCAGAAUGUAAGGUCCUGGAGAGUCUUGGGCCAAGGCCACACACCACAAAAUGCCGUAGGGCAAAGAGGUCAAAAGCAAGCAAGACCGAGCCAUAAAAACAGCCGUAGGGCAAUAAACUGUAAAGAA